AACGAACGCUGGCGGCAUGCCUAACACAUGCAAGUCGAACGAACCCUUCGGGCUUAGUGGCGCAUGGGUGGGUAACGCGGGGGAAUCUGCCCUUGGCUUCGCCAGAACUCAGGGAAACUUGUCCUAAUACCGGCUGAUGUCUUCCGACCAAAGAUUUAUGGGCAUGGGAUGAGCCCGCGUAGGAUUAGGAAGUUGGUGGGGUAAAGGCCUACCAAGGCGAGGUUCGUUAGCUGGUCUGAGAGGAUGAUCAGCGACACUGGGACUGAGACACGGCCCAGACUCCUAGGGGAGGGAGGAGUGGGGAAUAUAGGACAAUGGGGGCAAGGCUGAUCAAGCAAUGCCGGGUGAGUGAUGAAGGCCGUCGGGUCGUAAAGCUCUUUUACAAGGGAUGAUAAUGACAGUACCUGGAGAAUAAGCACCGGCUAACUCCGUG
rnacentral:rRNA from 1 species